UGCGCAGGCGGUUUUGUAAGUUUGUCGUGAAAUCCCCGGGCUCAACCUGGGAAUGGCGAUGAAGACUGCAAGGCUAGAAUCUGGCAGAGGGGGUAGAAUUCCACGUGUAGCAGUGAAAUGCGUAGAGAUGUGGAGGAACACCGAUGGCGAAGGCAGCCCCCUGGGUCAAGAUUGACGCUCAUGCACGAAAGCGUGGGGAGCAAACAGGAUUAGAUACCCUGGUAGUCCACGCCCUAAACGAUGUCUACUAGUUGUCGGGUUUUAAUUAACUUGGUAACGCAGCUAACGCGUGAAGUAGACCGCCUGGGGAGUACGGUCGCAAGAUUAAA
rnacentral:rRNA from 1 species